rnacentral:rRNA from 1 species
AGAUAACUCUCUCUAAGGAACUCGGCAAAAUGGCCCCGUAACUUCGGGAGAAGGGGUGCCACCGCAAGGUGGUCGCAGUGAAGAGGCCCAGGCGACUGUUUACCAAAAACACAGGUCUCCGCUAAGUCGCAAGACGAUGUAUGGGGGCUGACGCCUGCCCAGUGCCGGAAGGUUAAGGAAGCUGGUCAGCGUAAGCGAAGCUAGCGACUGAAGCCCCGGUGAACGGCGGCCGUAACUAUAACGGUCCUAAGGUAGCGAAAUUCCUUGUCGGGUAAGUUCCGACCCGCACGAAAGGCGUAACGAUCUGGGCGCUGUCUCGGAGAGAGGCUCGGCGGAAUAGAAUUGUCUGUGAAGAUGCGGACUACGUGCACCCGGACAGAAAGACCCUAUGAAGCUUUACUGUAGCUUGGUAUUGUGCUCGGGCUCGGAAUGCGCAGGAUAGGUGGGAGGCUAUGAACCAUUGCUUGUGGGUGAUGGUGAGCCACUGGUGAGAUACCACUCUUUCCGAGCUAGAGUUCUAACAGCCACCCGUUAUCCGGGGGCUGGACAGUAUCAGGUGGGCAGUUUGACUGGGGCGGUCGCCUCCUAAAAGGUAACGGAGGCGCGCAAAGGUUUGCUCAGGCUGGUUGGAAAUCAGCCGACGAGUGUAAAAGCAGAAGCAAGCUUGACUGUGAGACCUACAAGUCGAACAGGGAGGAAACUCGGCUUUAGUGAUCCGACGGUUCUGCGUGGAAGGGCCGUCGCUCAACGGAUAAAAGUUACUCUAAGGAUAACAGGCUGAUCUCCCCCAAGAGUUCACAUCGACGGGGAGGUUUGGCACCUCGAUGUCGGCUCAUCGCAACCUGGGGCUGAAGUCGGUCCCAAGGGUUGGGCUGUUCGCCCAUUAAAGCGGUACGCGAGCUGGGUUCAGAACGUCGUGAGACAGUUCGGUCCAUAUCCGGUGCAUGCGCAGGAACAUUGAGAGGAUUUCUCCCUAGUACGAGAGGACCGGGAGGAACGCACCUCUGGUGUACCAGUUAUCGUGCCAACGGUAAACGCUGGGUAGCCAUGUGCGGAGAGGAUAACCGCUGAAAGCAUCUAAGUGGGAAGCCCACCUCAAGAUGAGUAUUCCCAUGGGGUAACCCAGUAAGGUCACGGGAAGAACACCCGUUGAUAGGCUCUACGUGGAAGCGCAGUAAUGUGUGAAGCGGAGGAGUACUAAUAGACCGAGGGCUUGACCC